rnacentral:rRNA from 1 species
GACGAACGCUGGCGGCGUGCCUAAUACAUGCAAGUCGAACGCAGUGGGGACGGGUGAGUAACACGUGGGUAACCUCCCAUCAGAGGGGAUAACACUUGGAAACAGGUGCUAAACCGAUACUGAUGGAUGGACCCGCGGUGCAUUAGCUAGUUGGUGAGGUAACGGCUCACCAAGGCCACGAUGCAUAGCCGUCCUGUGAGGGGGACCGGCCACACAGGGAACGAGAAACGGCCCAGAAUCCUCAGGGAGUCAGCAGGAGGGAAUCUUCGGCAAUGGACGAAAGGCUGACCGAGCAACGGCGUGUGAGUGAAGAAGGUUUUCGGAUCGUAAAACUCUUGUGUUAGAGAAGCGGUAUCUAACCAGAAAGCCACGGCUAACUACGUGCCAGCAGCCGCGGUAAUUC